UACGGGGGGGGUAAGCGUUGUUCGGAAUUACUGGGCGUAAAGGGCUCGUAGGCGGCCAACUAAGUCAGACGUGAAAUCCCUCAGCUUAACUGGGGAACUGCGUCUGAUACUGGAUGGCUUGGAUUCGGGAGAGGAAUGCGGAAUUCCAGGUGUAGCGGUGAAAUGCGUAGAUAUCGGGAGGAACACCCGUAGCGAAGGCGGCUUACUGGCUCGUAACUGACGCUGAGGCGCGAAAGCGUGGGGAGCAAACAGG
rnacentral:rRNA from 1 species